CCUACGGGUGGCAGCAGUGGGGGAUAUUGCACAAUGGGGGAAACCCUGAUGCAGCGACGCCGCUUGGGUGAAGAAGUAUUUCGGUAUGUAACGCCCUAUCAGCAGGGCAGAAAGCAGACGGUACCUGACUAAGAAGCCCCGGCUAACUACCAGCCAGCAGCCGCGGUAAUCCGUAGGGGGCGUGCGUUAUCCGGAUUCACUGGGUGUAAAGGGAGCGUGGACGGCCGUGCAAGCCAGGAGUGAAAUCCCGGGGCGCAACUCCGGCACUGCUUUUGAAACUGUAUGGCUAGAUUGCAGGAGAGGCAAGUGGAAUUCCUAGGGUAGCGGUGAAAUGCGUAGAUAUUAGGAGGAACACCAGUGGCGAAGGCGGCUUGCUGGACUGUAAAUGACGCUGAGGCUCGAAAGCGUGGGGAGCAAACAGGAUUAGAUACCCGAGUAGUC
rnacentral:rRNA from 1 species